UACGGGGGGGGCAAGCGUCGUUCGGAAUUACUGGGCGUAAAGGGCUCGUAGGUGGCCAACUAAGUCAGACGUGAAAUCCCUCAGCUUAACUGGGGAACUGCGUCUGAUACUGGAUGGCUUGAGUUUGGGAGAGGGAUGCGGAAUUCCAGGUGUAGCGGUGAAAUGCGUAGAUAUCGGAAGGAACAUCAGUGGCGAAAGCGACUUCCUGGACCAGUACCGACGUUCAGGCACGAAAGCGUGGGGAGCAAACAGG
rnacentral:rRNA from 1 species